rnacentral:tRNA from 1 species
UGAGGCGUAAGUCUUCUUCCUGA